AUUGAACGCUGGCGGCAUGCCUUACACAUGCAAGUCGAACGGCAGCACGGGGGCAACCCUGGUGGCGAGUGGCGAACGGGUGAGUAAUACAUCGGAACGUGUCCUGUCGUGGGGGAUAACGUAGGGAAACUUACGCUAAUACCGCAUGCGACCCUGAGUCGACGGACUGGGGGUGAAAGUGAGGGACCUUCGGGCCUCACGCGACCAGAUGAGCCGAUGUCGGAUUAGCUAGNGGCGGGGUAACGGCCCGCCAAGGCGACGAUCCGUAGCUGGUCUGAGAGGAUGAUCAGCCACACUGGGACUGAGACACGGCCCAGACUCCUACGGGAGGCAGCAGUGGGGAAUCUUGGACAAUGGGCGCAAGCCUGAUCCAGCCAUGCCGCGUGGGGUGAAGAAGGCC
rnacentral:rRNA from 1 species